GGGUAGCUGAGUCAUUGAGGGCUCAUGGUUUUUACUCUCAUUAUAGUUUUAGAAUUAUAUAAAGGUGUGUUUGUUACAGUAGACCCAAAGGUGACUAUAAUCGGAUAUAAAAUUAAGAGAAAUAGGUUGACUAACUUAAAUUACAUAAAGAUGAGGUGUUCUACACUCAAAAAUUGGGAAUAAUCUCGGAUUCUUAUAAUCAUAGUUAGUUAAAUCAUUGAAAAUAUAACU
rnacentral:lncRNA from 1 species